AUUGAACGCUGGCGGCAGGCCUAACACAUGCAAGUCGAACGGUAACAGGAAGCAGCUUGCUGAUUUGCUGCCGAGUGGCGGACGGGUGAGUAAUGUCUGGGAAACUGCCUGAUGGAGGGGGAUAACUACUGGAAACGGUAGCUAAUACCGCAUAACGUCGCAAGACCAAAGAGGGGGACCUUCGGGCCUCUUGCCAUCGUAUGUGCCCAGAUGGGAUUAGCUUGUUGGUGGGGUAACGGCUCACCAAGGCGACGAUCCCUAGCUGGUCUGAGAGGAUGACCAGCCACACUGGAACUGAGACACGGUCCAGACUCCUACGGGAGGCAGCAGUGGGGAAUAUUGCACAAUGGGCGCAAGCCUGAUGCAGCCAUGCCGCGUGUAUGAAGAAGGCCUUCGGGUUGUAAAGUACUUUCAGCGGGGAGGAAGGGAGUAAAGUUAAUACCUGUACUCAUUGACGUUACCCGCAGAAGAAGCACCGGCUAACUCCGUG
rnacentral:rRNA from 1 species